rnacentral:rRNA from 1 species
UACAGAGGGUGCAAGCGUUGUUCGGAAUUACUGGGCGUAAAGCGAGUGUAGGCGGUCUAUUAAGUCAGAUGUGAAAUCCCUUGGCUCAACCGAGGAACUGCAUCUGAUACUGGUAGACUUGAGUGUCGGAGGGGAUGGUAGAAUUCCUGGUGUAGAGGUGAAAUUCGUAGAUAUCUGGAGGAACACCGGUGGCGAAGGCGGCAGCCUGGACCGAUACUGACGCUGAGGAGCGAAAGCCAGGGGAGCAAACGGG